UACGUAGGGUGCAAGCGUUUGUCCGGAAUUAUUGGGCGUAAAGAGCUCGUAGGCGGUUUGUCGCGUCUGCUGUGAAAACCCGAGGCUCAACCUCGGGCCUGCAGUCGAUACGAGCAGACUAGAGUGUUGCAGGGGAGACUGGAAUUCCUGGUGUAGCGGUGAAAUGCGCAGAUAUCAGGAGGAACACCGGUGGCGAAGGCGGGUCUCUGGGCAACAACUGACGCUGAGGAGCGAAAGCGUGGGGAGCGAACAGG
rnacentral:rRNA from 1 species